AUUAUUUUAUUUCAUCUAUUGAUUCUUUCCAACUUCAUUAGCUUGAAGCAUAUCACUUUUUUUCCCCAAAGAUAUUGUGGAGAAUUCAGUGUGGAUGCUAUUGGUCAGGUGACUGUCCUCUACACGGUGAUUCAAGGAUCCAGCCUCCUGCUACUUUGUGAUGCUGCUCUCUUCAACGUGAAUUCAUUGUGGAAAAAGAACAGAAAUAAGGUGGUGCAUGUGGGACUUCUGGGAGCAGACACGUCACUUCUGUCUACGUUCUGUUGGCCAGAACUAGUCAUGUGGCCCCACCUGGGUGCAGAGGGCCUGGGAAGCAUAGGUAUCCUCAAUACCCAGAAGGAAAUAAAUUAUUUGGUGAACACACAGGCCCACAACUUCUGUGCACAGACGUUAUAGUCAUUAUCUCAUUUGUGUCUGUGAGGCAGGUGCUAUUGUUCCCAUUUAUUUCCUGUGAAGAAAGCUGUAAAAGGCCACAGAUCUGGUGAGUGUCACACAGACAUUGCAUCCUGGGUCUGUAUGAUGAUAAGAUAUCCUUAAUCACCAUCUUAUAGUGUCUCCUGAGCAAUAGACAGGGUACAGUAUCAGAAAGAGGCUGGGCAGAGUGGAGUUUGGUUACCUGGGCCAUCUUUCUGCCAUGCCCUUUAAUAGCUUGGCAAAUUUGAGAAGUCGCUUUAUAUCUUUGGAUGUCAACUUCCUCAUGAGAAAUGGGACUCUUUGCUCAUCAAGUUCCCUUCUAGCUCAGAGAUUCAUUUAAUUUUAUUGCUUUUGCACUUUUAUAAGUAUGUCUAUUGGAGACUUACUUCUCUGUCCCUUUGAAUGGUUCUUCCAGGGGCUAGAGGAUAUCGGAGGAAAUGCUCUGCUGGAAUCAUAUCCGUAUAGAAUUCUCAGCACCUUCUUAGUUCCCUCUGUCUCUGUUCCCCUUGAAGAAUUUUCCAUCUGUUAGCAGACCCCACUGUCAAAGAGCAGCUGAUUCCUGUUGGUUUAGGAAAGCAUCCAGCAUGGCUUGCGUUCAACAACCAUGGUCUCUUUUCCGGAGCACCCUGGGAAUGGAAGCUGCCAAAUCUCUUUCACCCUAAACUCGGCAUGAAAUGCACUCGUCCGGGCUUCAGAGGAG
rnacentral:lncRNA from 1 species